rnacentral:tRNA from 1 species
GAGGGUAUAGCUCAGCGGUAGAGCGCUUGUUUAGCAUGCACAAGGUCCUGGGUUCAGUCUCCAGCACCUCCA